GAUGAACGCUGGCGGCGUGCCUAAUACAUGCAAGUCGAGCGAACGGACGAGAAGCUUGCUUCUCUGAUGUUAGCGGCGGACGGGUGAGUAACACGUGGAUAACCUACCUAUAAGACUGGGAUAACUUCGGGAAACCGGAGCUAAUACCGGAUAAUAUUUUGAACCGCAUGGUUCAAAAGUGAAAGACGGUCUUGCUGUCACUUAUAGAUGGAUCCGCGCUGCAUUAGCUAGUUGGUAAGGUAACGGCUUACCAAGGCAACGAUGCAUAGCCGACCUGAGAGGGUGAUAGGCCACACUGGAACUGAGACACGGUCAAGACUCCUACGGGAGGCAGCAGUAGGGAAUCUUCCGCAAUGGGCGAAAGCCUGACGGAGCAACGCCGCGUGAGUGAUGAAGGUCUUGGGAUCGUAAAACUCUGUUAUUAGGGAAGAACAUAUGUGUAAGUAACUGUGCACAUCGUGACGGUACCUAAUCAGAAAGCCACGGCUAACUACGUG
rnacentral:rRNA from 1 species